AGGAUGAUAGUUUAAUAGGUAAAGCGCUUGGCUCCAAACUGAGAAAGUGGAAGUUCAAUUCUUCCUCGUCCUG
rnacentral:tRNA from 1 species